AUGUAUUAUUCAAAUGUUAAUUCGGUUUCGAAAAACCGGGCUGGGAGAAAGAGAAAGCAGCCAGUGUCAUCUUCAGGUCCUGCCAAUAGCACGGGAAAGCAAACACAGCUGGGCCUUCCCCGAGUUCAGCCCCUUCAACUCCCUCAACGCACACUCCUGCAGAUGUAAUCUCAAUGCCUGCCUUGCCCCAUAGUGGUAGCUCCUCCAAGCCUCUGAUGGCACUGGGACUCUUACAUCACCAUCAAAUCAGUUGGCUGAUAUGGAUCCAUUUGUAGAGGAUGGUUCUCUUGAUGAUAAUGUCGGGACUUUUUUAUCCCAUGAUGAUGUUAAUUUGAAUUUGACUUUAGGGUUCACAUCUACGGAAGUACACUCUGUUAAAGCAAGCACAAGCAAGGUUACUAGCUGUCACUUCUCAUCGGAUGGAAAGUUUCUUGCUAGUGGUGGCCAUGAUAAAAAGGCUGUAUUGUGGACACAGAUACAUUAAAGGUAAAAUCAACCCUUGAAGAACAUUCAGCUUUGAUCACUGAUGUUUCGUUUUAGUCCAAGCAUGCCACGUCUCGUCUUGCAACGUCUUCAUUCGACAAAACUGUCAGGGUCUGGGAUGCUGACAAUCCUGGCUAUUCUCUCCGUACCUUUAUGGGACAUUCUGCCUCUGUUAUGUCAUUAGAUUUCCACCCAAAUAAAGAUGACCUUAUCUGCUCCUGCGACUCGGAUGGUCAGAUACGCUACUGGAGUAUUAACAAUGGCAGCUGCUCAAGUGUGUUCAAGGGUGGUACAGCACAGAUGAGAUUUCAACCCCGCCAUGGAAGAUUUCUUGCUGCAGCGGCAGAUAAUGUUGUAUCUAUACUGGAUGUCGAGACACAGGCUUGUCGGCAUUCAUUACAGGGGCAUACUAAGCCUGUCCAUUCUGUGUGCUGGGAUCCAUCUGGCGAGUUCCUUGCAUCUGUCAGUGAGGACUCUGUAAGAGUUUGGACACUCAGAUCAGGAGGUGAAGGGGAAUGUGUUCAUGAGUUGAGCUGCAAUGGAAGUAAAUUUCAUUCAUGUGUUUUCCAUCCGACGUAUACUUCCCUGCUGGUCAUUGGCUGUUAUCAGUCAUUGGAGUUGUGGAACAUGACAGAGAACAAGACAAUGACUCUAUCAGCGCAUGAUGGACUUAUUGCUGCUUUGGCUAUGUCAACUGUUACGGGUUUGGUUGCUUCGGCUAGUCAUGAUAAGUUUGUCAAGCUCUGGAAGUGAAAUGAUUGUUACUCUGCUUUAACUGUACUUCACAAAAUAGGAAUAGGUUUCUACCAGUCUUGGUCCAAUGCUUUGUAGUUUGUCUUUUGGUUGCUCGAUUGAUCGUCGUCUUUUGCUUUUUUGGAUCUCGAACUUCGGCUCCAUAUGACCCCCAGAAACUGACCUUGUAAGAUUAUUGUUGUAUUUGUCUACCUGUUACUAUAAUAGUAAACCUGGAGAUCUGUCAUGCUUCAUGGAACUCUUGUAACGCUCUUCAAACAGUAAAAUAGAAUUUUUAUGAUUCCUUUCUCA